rnacentral:rRNA from 1 species
AUACGUAGGUGGCAAGCGUUGUCAGGAUUUACUGGGUGUAAAGGGCGUGUAGGCGGAGAUGCAAGUCAGGAGUGAAAUCUAGGGGCUCAACCCCUAAACUGCUUUUGAAACUGUAUCCCUUGAGUAUCGGAGAGGCAGGCGGAAUUCCUAGUGUAGCGGUGAAAUGCGUAGAUAUUAGGAGGAACACCAGUGGCGAAGGCGGCCUGCUGGACGACAACUGACGCUGAGGCGCGAAAGCGUGGGGAGCAAACAGGAUUAGAUACCCUGGUAGUCCACGCUGUAAACGAUGAAUACUAGGUGUGGGGGGACUGACCCCCUCCGUGCCGCAGUUAACACAAUAAGUAUUCCACCUGGGGAGUACGAUCGCAAGAUUGAAACUCAAAGGAAUUGACGGGG